rnacentral:rRNA from 1 species
GACGAACGCUGGCGGCGUGCUUAACACAUGCAAGUCGAGCGGUAAGGCCCUUUCGGGGGUACACGAGCGGCGAACGGGUGAGUAACACGUGGGUGACCUGCCCUCAGCUCUGGGAUAAGCCUGGGAAACCGGGUCUAAUACUGGAUAUGACUCCAUGACGCAUGUUGUGGGGUGGAAAGCCUUGUGCGGCUGAGGAUGGGCCCGCGGCCUAUCAGCUUGUUGGUGGGGUGANGGCCUACCAAGGCGACGACGGGUAGCCGGCCUGAGAGGGCGACCGGCCACACUGGGACUGAGACACGGCCCAGACUCCUACGGGAGGCAGGCAGUGGGGAAUCUUGCGCAAUGGGCGAAAGCCUGACGCAGCGACGCCGCGUGAGGGAUGACGGCCUGG